rnacentral:rRNA from 1 species
ACUCCUACGGGAGGCAGCAGUAGGGAAUCUUCGGCAAUGGACGAAAGUCUGACCGAGCAACGCCGCGUGAGUGAAGAAGGUUUUCGGAUCGUAAAACUCUGUUGUUAGAGAAGAACAAGGAUGAGAGUAAAAUGUUCAUCCCUUGACGGUAUCUAACCAGAAAGCCACGGCUAACUACGUGCCAGCAGCCGCGGUAAU